rnacentral:lncRNA from 1 species
CUUAUUGGUUACAUUCACUAUGUACCCAUUUAUAAGAAUUCCAUUUCCUCUCUUUCUAGUUGGGCUUAUUGGUUUCAUUAAGUGGGUGCCCAUUUGCAAGAAUUUCAUCUCAUCUCUUUCCAAUCGUCACAAAGCUCUUUGCCUCUCUACUAACCCUAAAUCUGAAAUUAUGGCCGCCGGUUAACUAAACGAGCUCUCCAACCAACCAAAAUGCCAUUUUCGAUCUGCACUUAGCUAUUUGCUUCUCUGUGCUAACUCUAAAUCUGAAUCGUUGGCUGCCAAUUAACCAAAACGAACUCUCCAACUACAAAAAUCUUCGUCCUCGAUCUGAAAUCCUUCUUUUCUUGGCAUGUUUUGCUUGUUAUGGUAAGAUUUUUGUGAGUUGCCUUUUUAUAUCUUCUCUCUUGAUCAGAUUCUCAUUUAUUUUAUAAUUGGAUUUUGUUGAUGCUAUGGAUUUCAAGCAUUGAGGCUCCAAUCUUCGAUCUUCACUGUUGAACCAAAUGACCUCUCCAGUGGCCUAAGCAUCAAUCUUCAAUCUUUAGUGUUUCGUCGCAUUUUGCUUGCUAUGGUAAGAUUUUUGCCGAGCUGCCUCUUUAUCUCUUAUGCAUCGAUCCGUUUUCACUCUUAUUGAAGUUCUAUAGUCGCCCUUUCGCUGUUGGCAAAUUCUUUUGAGUUUUCAUUGUGGAGAAUGCUAGCGUUCACCUAGCUAUUCUAUAUAACAUGUUCUAUUCGUUCUAUUCUUUUGAUUGAUUAUUUAUGAUUUUAUAAUCGAAAAUCUACUUCAUUUGUGUGAAUGAAUGGAUUAUGGAAUUGUCAACAAAUUUUUAUGUUUUAACAUACUUGUCAUUAUAUGGAAAGAAGUUAUUCUCGUUGCAAUUGAAAACUAAGCAUUUUAAGUAAUUAUUGUUAUACUCGGUUCACAUAUGACGUUAAUUAUUGUAGGCUGAUUAUAGUAAAACCCUUGGAAGGGAUUCUGUUGAUGGAGUAUUUAUUGAUUUUUCUAAAAAUUUGUUUAGAUUUGGAGUUAAAAGUUAACUUAUAAACGAUCUCUUUUGAAAAUCACUUUUUUGCUUUAUCUUUUAUAUAGAUUUGAGUUCUCUAUUACCUUUUCUUGGUUGAAUGAAACUAGAAUUUCCUAUUUGUAAUGUACCUAUAAAAUAAGUGUUGUUUGAUUAACUUUUGACUUUACUACUCUCAUAGUCAUUGGAAAUAAUAUUAUUUCAGUAGCGUCAUAUGACCUAUGAUAAAUUGGUUUGAUGUAAAUUUUAGAAACUAUAAGAUCAAAACUUUCAAUAACUACAUUAAGUAGCAUUCAUCAAUGUAACUUUUUGUUUCCUAUCUCAUAUAGCUGUUCUUAUUUUUUCAUUGCUUCUUCAUUGACGAACCAUCAACACUAGUACGAAACACACAAUUCAAUUAAAACUGGCCAACCAUAAUCUGUAAAACAUUACAAAACUGACAAACGGAUCAUCUUUGGUGGUUUGUUCAUCAAAUAUGAAAUUUUUAGCUUGAAUAAGGACCAUUCACUAAGUCUCAAUUAGACUUUCAGUGUGUGAGUCAACUUUAUGUCAUGGUUCCAGGGCUGUCUUGUUGGUGAUGGUUUAAAAAGUUAGAGGGCUUUGAACUUGUUGAAGCAUUAUGUAUGGUGUCAACUUAUGGUUGAUUUGGGACUAGGGAAAAUGAUAGUGUAACUGAGACACCAAACAUUGUACCUACAAUUAAUGUUGAUGUUGCUCGUGAUUGUGUAACUGAGGCACUAAGUGUCAAUUGAUGUUGUUCGUGAUAGUUUAAUUGAGGCACCAAACACUGUACCUACAGCUGAUGUCUCAAUCGACACUCCACCGAUUGACGAUACCAUCGUUGCUGAACCCUUGAAUAUUACUGAUCCCCCUUAUGUAAACCUCGAUCGUUGAGGCUAAAAUGCUUAGUGCGAACACUAAGAGACCAUUCACAUGAUCCGGCUGCAAGAGAGGUAAGAAGGAUGUGUAGCAUGUGUAGACUGCAAUUCCAGUAGUUUUACUCAUUGUCUGGACUGGUUGUUCGAUAUUUUGUCAAUGCGAACUUGUGCUUGCUCGGAAGGUUGCAUGCUGAAAGUAGUUUAUAACUGUAAUAUUUCUUAUUGUGGGCUUGUAAUAGACACAAGUAAGAUAAAGACUAUUUCAUGUUGCAAGGAACGUCUAUUUUUUAAGUUUUCUAUAUUAUAGACUGUAUUUCGUUGUAAUGAUUUCAGUUAUUAUUUAAUGUCUUAGCAUAUUUGCUAUGAUCGUGUUGACUCAGCUACUGUGAAACAUUCGUCCUCUUCCAAGGUCUAUAGGGUUUCUUUUUCCCAGUUCCAUAUUAGCAUAUGAGAAUGAAAUUGUGAUUAUUGUUUUUUCAAUUAAUAAAUCUUUGUAGCUUAUUUUGGUAAAUAAUGAAAAAGUCUUAGUGGAAUAUUCUCUUUGGUUACAUGAC